UGUUUAUCUGGCUUAGCUCAACAGUGUGCAAAGUACAGCACAAAGAAGUGGGCUGUUUCUAGAAGCGAUAAUUUCUAUGCUUUUUGCUUCAACUUUGAAUAUUGAAAGGAUAAUAUGAUCAAAAAUUAAACACGUAUAUUUUGAAAGCAAAGAGAAAACUGCAUGAGAAGAGAUCUUAUGAUUAAGUGUGCAUCCCAUCUGCAAUUAUGCUGCAGCCCACUCUGCCACUCAGCUCUGUCCUUGCUAUAGAAAUAAACCUGUUAAAAGAAUACGUGUUUAUGGAUAAAAUGGAUAGCAACCCAGCACACACACACACACACAAAGAAAAAGAACAAGAGAAAAGUGGACCUCCUUACCUAUUGUACCAUAUAAUGUGGUAUACAGCAUUUCUAUAAAGAAAGGCAUAUUACAUAGUGGAGUCUCUCCACUGUCUGAGUAAUUACAGGAUCAACAGUAAUCAACCUCUUUCAGGUACGAGAAUGUUAAUAAUAGUGGAAGUACUCACUUAAUCUUAUCUCAUAUUUCGCUUGCAUAUGGAUGGAACAGCAAAUUAAUAACUGUUUUUGUCCUUUGUCAUAACUGGAUAAAACUUUUGUUAAGGAAUCUUGAUAAAAUGAUAAUGUUUGGAUUUCUGAGCUUUCAAAUUUUAUUUGGAGAAUAGCAAUUGUAAUGACUCUAAAUAAAUGCUUCAUAGAUUGUGGUAAGUGUGUUUGACCAGUCUGUUUACACACAAGUUUUUUACUGAUUCAGUGUCUAAAAUUAAUCCUAAUUUAUUAUGGCAUAGAGAGCGAAUCAGAGCAAGUUAACCUGCAGUGUGUUCUGUGGUCAUGUGUCUACCCAGUUUGUGAUGCCUGGGCCAGCUAGUUUAAAGUUGACUUAAAUUUUUCUAUUCUACGCAGCAGCCAAUUGUGUAACUGAGAGACAGAC